GUCUGAGUUGCUCUCCGUAGAGGUGUAACCACUGCCUUUUUCCUGAAAAUGCAACACUUAUAGUGCUCAGCCUACAGGGACAGGAUAUAGAUGCUAUACCCACUACAUUAAGCUGUAUUAGUUCUGGUGACUAGAGUAUCCCUUUAAGUUUGUCCUUUUAAAAAUGAUCACUCAUUUAAAGGACGAAAAAAUUUAUCUAUUCUCGCAUAUGUGUUGUAUACUUGAGAGUGGAAUGUAUAGUCCCUCUCUGAGGGGUAUAAGGUUUUCCACCCG